AACGCACAUUGCGCCCCUUGGUAUUCCAUGGGGCAUGCCUGUUCGAGCGUCAUCUACACCCUCAAGCUCUGCUUGGUGUUGGGCGUCUGUCCCGCCUUCGCGCGCGGACUCGCCCCAAAUUCAUUGGCAGCGGUCCUUGCCUCCUCUCGCGCAGCACAAUUGCGUCUGCGGGGGGGCGUGGCCCGCGUCCACGAAGCAACAUUACCGUCUUUGACCUCGGAUCAGGUAGGGAUACCCGCUGAACUUAA
rnacentral:misc_RNA from 1 species